rnacentral:rRNA from 1 species
UAGGGAAUCUUCGGCAAUGGACGAAAGUCUGACCGAGCAACGCCGCGUGAGUGAAGAAGGUUUUCGGAUCGUAAAACUCUGUUGGUAGAGAAGAACGUUGGUGAGAGUGGAAAGCUCAUCAAGUGACGGUAACUACCCAGAAAGGGACGGCUAACUACGUGCCAGCAGCCGCGGUAAUACGUAGGUCCCGAGCGUUGUCCGGAUUUAUUGGGCGUAAAGCGAGCGCAGGUGGUUUAUUAAGUCUGGUGUAAAAGGCAGUGGCUCAACCAUUGUAUGCAUUGGAAACUGGUAGACUUGAGUGCAGGAGAGGAGAGUGGAAUUCCAUGUGUAGCGGUGAAAUGCGUAGAUAUAUGGAGGAACACCGGUGGCGAAAGCGGCUCUCUGGCCUGUAACUGACACUGAGGCUCGAAAGCGUGGGGAGCAAACAGGAUUAGAUAGCCCUGGUAGUCCACGCCGUAAACGAUGAGUGCUAGAUGUAGGGAGCUAUAAGUUCUCUGUAUCGCAGCUAACGCAAUAAGCACUCCGCCUGGG